rnacentral:snoRNA from 10 species
AUCCUUUUGUAGUUCAUGAGCAUGAUGGCUGGGUGUUCACGCACGUAUGUGAGAUGUGCUACCCUCGAACCUUGUUAAAGAAAAAAAAAGCUAAUA